rnacentral:rRNA from 1 species
UACAGAGGGGGCAAGCGUUAUUCGGAAUUACUGGGCGUAAAGCGCACGUAGGCGGAUCGAUCAGUCAGGGGUGAAAUCCCAGGGCUCAACCCUGGAACUGCCUUUGAUACUGUCGAUCUGGAGUAUGGAAGAGGUGAGUGGAAUUCCGAGUGUAGAGGUGAAAUUCGUAGAUAUUCGGAGGAACACCAGUGGCGAAGGCGGCUCACUGGUCCAUUACUGACGCUGAGGUGCGAAAGCGUGGGGAGCAAACAGG